UACGAAGGGGGCGAGCGUUGUUCGGAUUUACUGGGCGUAAAGGGCGCGCAGGCGGCUUAUUUUGUCAGGCGUGAAAGCCCCGGGCUUAACCUGGGAACUGCGUUUGAUACGGAUGGGCUAGAGUUCGGGAGAGGAGAGUGGAAUUCCCAGUGUAGAGGUGAAAUUCGUAGAUAUUGGGAAGAACACCGGUGGCGAAGGCGGCGCUCUGGACCGAGACGUGACGCUGAGGCGCGAAAGCGUGGGGAGCAAACAGG
rnacentral:rRNA from 1 species